AACCUCCGCAAUGUGAGAAAUCGCGACGGGGGGAUCCCAAGUGCCAUUCUUAACGGGAUGGCUUUUCAUUAGUGUAAAGAGCUUUUGGAAUAAGAGCUGGGCAAGACCGGUGCCAGCCGCCGCGGUAACACCGGCAGCUCUAGUGGUAACAAUUUUUAUUGGGCCUAAAGCGUCCGUAGCCGGUUUAAUAAGUCUCUGGUGAAAUCCUGCAGCUUAGCUGUGGGAAUUGCUGGAGAUACUAUUAGACUUGAGACCGGGAGAGGUUAGAGGUACUCCCAGGGUAGAGGUGAAAUUCUGUAAUCCUGGGAGGACCGCCUGUUGCGAAGGCGUCUAACUGGAACGGUUCUGACGGUGAGGGACGAAAGUUAGGGGCGCGAACCGGAUUAGAUACCCGGGUAGUCCUAACUGUAAACGAUGCGGACUUGGUGUUGGGGUGGCUUUGAGCUGCUUCAGUGCCGAAGGGAAGCUGUUAAGUCCGCCGCCUGGGAAGUACGGUCGCAAGACUGAAACUUAAAGGAAUU
rnacentral:rRNA from 1 species